rnacentral:rRNA from 1 species
CAAGUCGAACGGUAACGCGGACUUCGGUCUGGCGACGAGUGGCGAACGGGUGAGUAAUGCAUCGGAACGUAUCCAUUUGUGGGGGAUAGCCCGGCGAAAGCCGGAUUAAUACCGCAUAAUCUCUGAGGAGGGAAGUGGGGGGACCUUCGGGCCUUACGCUGAUGGAGCGGCUGAUGUCGGAUUAGCUAGUUGGUAGGGGUAAAGGCCUACCAAGGCGACGAUCCGUAGCUGGUCUGAGAGGACGGCCAGCCACACUGGAACUGAGACACGGUCCAGACUCC